AUUAGGCCCCUAAUGUUUUUAAUUGGGUUAUAUCAACCCAAAAUUAACAGAGGUAAACUUCCGUUAACCUCUUAAAUGGGACCCAUGCAACAGAUGAAUAAAUUCUCAAAUUGAAUACAAAAUCCCUAAAAGCUCUAAUCUUCUCCCAAAAUUGCCCAUCGCAAUCAGUAGAAAACCCAUGUAUAUUCUCUGAGAUUUCUGUGAAUUUGACUUUCGAAUCUAAGAAGGAGAUGCGCAUUGUUCUAAAGGAGGUUAUAUUUCAAGCAGUGCGAGUUGCUGCUAUAGUACCUAGCCACAAGGUCAGGAUAUUGGUGGCGAGAGGAAAAUUGGAAUGUUUUCAGAGGAAUUUGUUGGCAAUCCACCUACUGAUCUGGGUUAUUCUACUCAUGGACUUCAGUGGAAAGGCAAAAAAGCUAUUACUUGGAGGCAACUUGAGGAGCAAAGGGAGUUGGGUGUUAGCAAGGUCAUGAAGAAGUUCAAAAGGAAUUAAUAUGCUGUGGAAUGCUUUUGAAGUUUAUGUACUAAAUUAGUUUUAUCCUAAUGCAUAUAAUUGCUAAUAUAGUAAGCCAAAUACAGUGGUUAAAUUUAUAAGCUCCUUAUUUUGUUUUUGUUAUGAGCACGCAAGUUCCAUGUUGAACAUGAGGGUCAAAUGUAAAUCAAGUUCCUCUAGGAACUAUAAAAUGCUUAGGAGCUA